UAAGACGAACCGUGCGAACGUUGUUCGGAAUCACUGGGCUUAAAGGGCGCGUAGGCGGGCUAUCAAGUCCGGGGUGAAAUCCUCCCGCUCAACGGGAGAACGGCCUCGGAUACUGAUGGUCUCGAGGGAGAUAGGGGCACACGGAACUGUGGGUGGAGCGGUGAAAUGCGUUGAUAUCCAUAGGAACUCCGGUGGCGAAAGCGGUGUGCUGGAUCUCUUCUGACGCUGAGGCGCGAAAGCCAGGGGAGCAAACGGGAUUAGAUACCCCGGUAGUCCUGGCCCUAAACGUUGGGUACUAGGUAGUAGACUAGACAUGGGUUUACUUCCGAAGCAAAAGUGCUAAGUACCCCGCCUGGGGAGUAUGGUCGCAAGGCUGAAACUCAAAGGAAUUGACGGGGGCUCACACAAGCGGUGGAGCAUGUGGCUUAAUUCGAGGCAACGCGAAGAACCUUACC
rnacentral:rRNA from 1 species